rnacentral:tRNA from 1 species
GGAGGCGUCGCAUAGUGGUCUAGUGCGCACGCUUGGAAAGCGUGUAAUCCGCAAGGAUUCGAGAGUUCGAAUCUCUCCGCCUCCG